AUUGAACGCUGGCGGCAUGCCUUACACAUGCAAGUCGAACGGCAGCACGGGGGCAACCCUGGUGGCGAGUGGCGAACGGGUGAGUAAUGCAUCGGAACGUGUCCUCUUGUGGGGGAUAACCAGUCGAAAGAUUGGCUAAUACCGCAUGAGAUCGAGAGAUGAAAGCGGGGGACCCGAGGGUAACUUCGGGCCUCGCGCGAGAGGAGCGGCCGAUGCCGGAUUAGCUAGUUGGUGGGGUAAGAGCCUACCAAGGCGACGAUCCGUAGCUGGUCUGAGGGGACGACCAGCCACACUGGGACUGAGACACGGCCCAGACUCCUACGGGAGGCAGCAGUGGGAAUUUUGGACAAUGGGCGCAAGCCUGAUCCAGCCAUGCCGCGUGUGUGAAGAAGGCCUGG
rnacentral:rRNA from 1 species